UGUGACACCCCUGAAACUAUAGUUGUGUGUGUGCUUACCAUAAAAUAGUGUUUUACACCAUAUUAUUGAACAAUGCCUUCUCUUACCUGUGUAGAAUGAUUGAUUCGAUGAGUUUUUCUGUGUUUGCUUAUAACUGAUUCCAAGAGAAACUUAUGUGAGAUAUGUGAGGUCUGUCUUAAUGCAAACCCAGUUUGCUUUAUGCAAGCUUUUGUAAUAUCAUUGAGGAAUAUGCAAAGCUGUAUUGUUCUCACUGUGAUAUUUUUUCUGAUUAUUCAUUUGGCUUACACUUAGUAUUAAUCACCUCGUUGCUUUGUUACUUUCUCGGUUCUCUUUGCAAGUAUAUUGUUUUCCCUUCUUUGUCUUCUUGUUGUAAACGUAUGCUCUUGUUUGUUGAGAUUCU
rnacentral:lncRNA from 1 species